CCUUAAGGCAGCGGCUGAGACAAUGGUUUCUGCUCCUGGCCGUGUCGUUUGUUCAGUGAGAAAACCGAGCUCUUGGGAGAAGAGCGUUGCACGUAUUCACUCGGCGAGAAACUCUCCCGAGACCAGCGCGCUCGCACGCGACUCAGCAGAGGGACGGCCCCGGGGGCGGGGGUUUUCUCCGCCUGGGGAGCGCCCGAGGCCGGUCUUGCAGAAGUACCCCCGUUUCGCUGAUGGGGAAAACGAAACCCAGAGAGAGACAGGGUGAGGUUCCCAGCGUUAGCAAACACCAUGCAGGACGCCCAGUCAGAGCUGAAUUUCAGAUCUCUCCGGCAGGCCUAGGCCAAGAUCACCCAGCUGAGUGGAGGAGCAGAAACAGCUACAGAGGCACCUGUGCCUUCCCUGCUAAGGCUCACCCGUGAGUCGACCUCACUCUGCUGAGGUGGCCUGCAGGGCCCCCAGGGCGUGCCAGUCAGUGGUCGGCCCUCCGCGGGAUCCACGCUGCUUUUUCGGGAGCUGAGCCGAAGGGGCCAGAUGCCCACCCGCCUCCCCUCGCCCUCCAAGACUAGUUUAUUCAAAAGACACUACGCACCUACGCUACCAGGCGCAAACCCAGGCUCCAGCAAAUGGAACAUGAAACAUUUGAAAGGCUCCAGUGAGAAAUCAGUUCCAACUCCGUGCCAGCUGCUGUCACUUUAAAAGCCACAGAGGCAUCCCCCCAGCGAACCUGCCUCGGACAAGGCAGUGAGUUAUGCCUGGAUCUCCCUGCAGCCAGCGGUCUUAGUAGCACAUCUGCUGCCUUUGGAAGCAGAUGGCCGGUUCCAGCAGAACCUGUGUUUGCCCUCCUUUCCUCUUCUCCAGACAAGCAUGAGCGGGUCCAGAGCUGCUCGAGCAUCAAAACGGAAGACGUCUCAGAAAUAGCCUCAUGUCCGAGGGCAGAGCCCAGCACGGUAAGAUGCAGAACCUGGUGGGGGGUGGAGAACCAGCGGGCAGUGCAGUGACCCUAUCUGCUUGGUCCCCGCGUCUCUUGGGGUCCUGACCUUUCAGCCUGCUUAUUGUCAAAGUAACACAAACUAGGCCCAGCCUGGAAGAGGCAUCUCUGCUUUUAAUAAGCUCCCAGUUCACUCAGAACACGUUGCCUCCUGAGGUGACCUCGGAGCCACAUGCAGGACCCAGGACUGGCUGAGACGCUGAAACUGGCUGACCAGGUAGGAUAUUGUGACUUACAAUAACAGACGUGUGUUUUGUUUUCAUCCCCAUUCCUGGCACAGAGAUCCUAAAAUUUCCUAAGUGAUGAGAGUGACAAAGGUGUCUUUUGUUAUAGGCUGCCCUCAAACUCUGGGGAGGGGAGGUGGCUGGAGAUUGAGUUUCAAUCGCCGAUGCCGAUGAUUUAAUCAGUCCUGCCUAGGUAAUGAAGCCUCCAUAAAAGCCCCACAGGACAGGGUUUGGGGAGCCGCCAGGCUGGUGAACACAUGGGAGUGCUGGGAGACUGAUGCUUAGAGAGGGCACGGGAGCUCUGCACCCUUUCUCCAGAGCCUGCCCCAUGCAGCUCUUUCUCUGGCUAGUCCUGAGUUACAUCCUUUCAUAAUAAACCAGCAAUAUAGUAAGUAAAGCGUUGCCCUGAGUUCCGUGAGCCACUCUAGCGAGUUAAUUGAACCCAAGGAAGGGGGUUAUUGGAACCUCCUUUCUAUAGCCAGUUGGUGCAAACACAGGUCACAGCCUGGACUUGGUGAUCAGUGUCUGAAGUGGGGGGAGAGUGGGGCGGUCUUGUAGGACUGAGCCCUUAACCCAUGGGAUCUGAAGCUAUCUCUGGGUAGAUAGUGGCAGAAUCGAGUUGAAUUGCGGGACACACAGCUGGUGUUGGAGAAUGGCUUGGCAGUGUGGAAAAAAACCCCACGUACCAGGCUUACCCAGAGAGGAGCUCAAGUGAAGGUAUAAAAACAGUCAUAAUGUUAUGUCCAGAACAGGUCAAUAAUCCACAGGGAUGGGCAGUAGAUUAGUGACUGCCAGUGGCUGGGGAGGGGGGAAAUGGGGCGUGAAUGCUAACGGGCACAGGGUUUCUCUUCGAGGUAGUGAACAUGUUCUGGGAUUGGGCAGUAGUGAUGGUUGUGCAGACUCUGUGUAUGUACUAAAAACCACUGAAUUCUGUACUUGGAAAGGGUGGGUUUUAAGGCAUGUGAAUUUUACAUUUCAAUUUUUUGUAAUUGCAGAAGAAAAAUCUUUCAGGUCCCCUGUAGCAGCUGGGGGAGCUCUAAAGUCUGAUCUCCUUUGCUAAGCAGCUCACACACCCCCAGGCGCAUCGCCUGGGACCCUAGCAGUGACAAGGAACUUCCAGUUGAGGACGCAUCAGUAUCAGGCCCUUGGCACCGUAUGUGGCAGUGCUGUGUGGCCAGCCUGGCCCUGGCAGUUAUUGCCUGAAUGAGCAAAACCAACCGCCCAUAUCUGCAUCGCUCUUACUGCCUUGCAGACCUGCAAGGACAGUAAGGGUUCAGGGUCUCUCCAGAACGUCUCUAAUGCCCAUCUCUUUGCUCUUUAUCUUUGGUAAGAAUUUCCAAAGCUGUGUCAGGUACUCAGUCACCCCCAUGUUGGGCCAGGCCUUAGGCUGGGUGUUGGGUUCACACAGAGGCCCCUCACCAGUCGGGAGCUGCAGCUCCAAGGCUGAAGGAUGGCAACUCUGACUCCCGCCUCAUCCCUAACAGCUCGCUCUUUCUCAUGACACCGGCUUGGCGGCCUGUGCAGAGGACAGAGAUGAGUCAGAGAAGCCGGGUGCCAGUAGGAGAUUCCCACAGUGCAGCUGGGUCAGGACUGAAGCAGAAGCCAUGGGGUCAUCAGUGCAGGGUGGGAGAGUCUCAGCCCUGGCCUAGUCCGGGCUGCUUUGUGAAUUGAACUGCUAGAUUCCACUGGAGUAUUAAAAAAAAAACACCUAAA